GGCUUAACCCAUGAACUGCUUUGGAAACUGUAUAGCUGGAGUGCCGGAGAGGUAAGCGGAAUUCCUAGUGUAGCGGUGAAAUGCGUAGAUAUUAGGAAGAACACCAGUGGCGAAGGCGGCUUACUGGACGGUAACUGACGUUGAGGCUCGAAAGCGUGGGGAGCAAACA
rnacentral:rRNA from 1 species